CACGGAGUUAGCCGGUGCUUAUUCAUACUGUACCUUCGGCUACUUACACGUAAGUAGGUUUAUCCCAGUAUAAAAGAAGUUUACAACCCAUAGGGCCUUAGUCCUUCACGCGGGAUGGCUGAAUCAGGCUCUCACCCAUUGUCCAAUAUUCCUCACUGCUGCCUCCCGUAGGAGUCUGGUCCGUGUCUCAGUACCAGUGUGGGGGGUAUCACCCUCUCAGGCCCCCCGUAAAGAUCACUGACUUGGUGAGCCGUUACCUCACCAACUAUCUAAUCUUGCGCGUGCCCAUCUCUAUCCACCGGAGUUUUUCAAUAUCGAAUGAUGCCAUUCAAUAUAUUAUGGGUAUUAAUCUUCCUUUACGAAAGGCUAUCCCCCGAGAUAAAGGCAGGUUGCACACGUGUUCCGCACCCGUACGCCGCUCUCUCUGUCCCGAAGGUACAAAUACCGCUCGGCUUGCAUGUGUUAGGCCUCCCGGCUGCGUUCAUCCUGAGCCAGAUCAAACUC
rnacentral:rRNA from 1 species